rnacentral:rRNA from 1 species
UUCAAGGGUUAUACUCUGAAUGUGUCUGAUCUUUUCUGUCUCUGAGGCUAACCAGGUUGCACCUGGUUAGUUCUUGGAUGGGAGGCCACCUGGGAAUACUGGCUGUGGUGACA